UUUCCAUUCAUGAUUCAUUCUUUUUUUUUUUUUUUAAUUUUUGGAUCUUAAGUCUUUUUCCCUUUCUCUAAAUUCAACAAGGAAGUGGUCAGAUUCCUGAUCAUUGGAUAUUAAAUCUUUUUCUCUUUCUCCAAAUUCAACAAUGAAACCGUCUGAUUCCCAGGAUAACAGGGCUAAUAAUUCCAUAAGUACAAGAGUUUUUGCCUCUGACAAUGCAUUGGUAGACCAAAGGAAUGGGAAAGUUAUAAGUGGGGGAAGCCAAAUCUUUUUGACUUCAGCUUGAUCGGAGCAUCCUCAAGAUCUAGCAAAUAUGUCCUAAACAAAUUUAUGCAGAAGAUUCCUAAAUUUAAUGAAUUUGCUACUAUGGAAAGGCGUAAAAUUUCCUCUGGAAUGAAGUCCUACAUCUACUGCAAAAGCAUCUACAAGAUAUGCCAAAUCUUGCCUCUACAGUAGGCAACAAACAUGUUUUGUGAUAUUGCAAGGCUUGGAUGUCUACAUUUUAUGAGGCUGAAUAGAACUUUAAGCCAUUGAUUACUAUGCAAAAGGCAACGAAUUUCCUUUGGAAUGAAGAAGCACUGCUUUUGCUUUCUAAACAGCACUUAGGCUUGUUUUCCAAAGUGAAGAAUUGAUUACUACAGCCAACCAAUGGAAGUAUAAAGUUGCAAAAGUUGCUGCUCAGCUAGAAUAGAAAUCGCCAAAUUAUGGGAGUACAUUGAGUAGGGUAUGAAUUACUUUGAAAGGCAGUAGAUUUCUUCCAUAGCUUGCCAAUGCAAAGUCCAAGUAGAAUGAUGUGCAAUUCAUGAGCUUCAAAUUUUUCGUGUUUUCACUCCGAUUCCUUUUAUGCAUCUUUGUACCUACAUUUAACUUCCUUAGCAAAGCCACCUUAUGGAGUUACCUUUGCUUUUAUCUUGUAAAAGAGAGAAAAGGGUUCUACCCAAGCCUUUGAAAGGUAGUGUGUGGAGGUUGUGCCGUAUCCUUAAAAAGGCAAAGGUUCUUAACUUAGCCUUAAAAAUUUAAAGAGGUUGUGUCUUAUCCUUGAAAAGACAAGGUUUGUGCUUGAACCUUUAAAAAGGCACAUUGUAUUUAAUUUAUUCAAUAGUGAAUUAAACUCCUUAGCUUGCUAAGGGAGAGGACGUAGGCACUUAGAGAGAGGGCUGAACCUCUA